rnacentral:rRNA from 1 species
CCUACGGGUGGCAGCAGUGAGGAAUAUUGGUCAAUGGCCGAGAGGCUGAACCAGCCAAGCCGCGUGAGGGAAGAAUGUCCUAUGGAUUGUAAACCCUUUUUGCCAGGGAGCAAAGUCACCCACGUGUGGGUGUUGGAGAGUACCUGAAGAAAAAGCAUCGGCUAACUCCGGGCCAGCAGCCGCGGUAAUACGGAGGAUGCGAGCGUUAUCCGGAUUUAUGGGGUUAAAGGGGUGCGCAGGGGGAAGAUCAAGUCAGCGUGAAAGUUGAGAGGCUCAACCUCUUCGAGCCGUUGAAACUGGUUAUCUUGAGUGAGCGAGAGGUAUGCGGAAUGCGUGGUGUAGCGGUGAAAUGCAUAGAUAUCACGCAGAACUCCGAUUGCGAAGGCAGCAUACCGGCGCUCAACUGACGCUCAUGCACGAAAGUGUGGGUAUCGAACAGGAUUAGAUACCCGUGUAGUC